rnacentral:tRNA from 1 species
GUCGUGUUGGUCUAAUGGUUAGGACAAUAGCCUUUCAAGCUAUUAAUGCAGAGUUCAAUUCUCGCACACGACA